GAGAUGGGUCAGGGAGACAGAAGUAAACUGCCCGUGGAUAAACAAAAUCUCCCAUCCGAGGUCGCAGACAGGAUUUUUAAAAUGGGGGCAUUUUCUUGUUGAUUUUUGCCCUCCUCUCUGAGAUGCCUCAAGCCCCCACGCCCCGCCGCCGCCAAACUUCUCUGUACUCUUUUUAUUAUUUUGCCUUAUUUUGAUUCCCUAGAGGACGGGUACAGCAGACCCAAAAGGGAUCGAUUUGACAGUCGCCUUUGCUGUGUUAGGCCUUUGCGGAGAGUGUGGUGCUCAGUGUUCUUCCAGCGCUGGAGCAAGCCAAAACGAAUUCUCUUCCUUCCCAGCCUUUUGCCCCACCCAUGAAAGUUGUUCUGCUCCUUUGGGAAAUUUUCACUGUUCGAGGCAGACAUUUAUUGCGUUGCUAAAUGAUACCUAGAAGUAACUCAGCCUUUACGAGUCUAAGUGUAAGAGACUUAAAUGAAUAUGACUGUCACACAAAAAAGGUGUGUCCUACUUCAACACUCAACAUUCAAGAAAUAUUUGUCAAAGACCUGCUGUAAGCCAGG
rnacentral:lncRNA from 1 species